rnacentral:rRNA from 1 species
UACAGAGGGUGCAAGCGUUGUUCGGAAUUAUUGGGCGUAAAGCGCGUGUAGGCGGUUUUGCAAGUCGGGUGUGAAAGCCCUCAGCUCAACUGAGGAAGUGCGCCCGAAACUGCAGAUCUUGAGUACCGGAGAGGAUGGCGGAAUUCCCAAGUAGAGGUGAAAUUCGUAGAUAUGGGAGGAACACCGGUGGCGAAGGCGGCCAUCUGGACGGAUACUGACGCUGAGACGCGAAAGCGUGGGGAGCGAACGAGGA